ACACGUGGGCAACCUGCCCCUUAGACUGGGAUAACUCCGGGAAACCGGAGCUAAUACCGGAUAAUCCCUUUCUCCACCUGGAGAGAGGGUGAAAGAUGGCUUCGGCUAUCACUAGGGGAUGGGCCCGCGGCGCAUUAGCUAGUUGGUAAGGUAACGGCUUACCAAGGCAACGAUGCGUAGCCGACCUGAGAGGGUGAUCGGCCACACUGGGACUGAGACACGGCCCAGACUCCUACGGGAGGCAGCAGUAGGGAAUCUUCCGCAAUGGACGAAAGUCUGACGGAGCAACGCCGCGUGAGUGAGGAAGGCCUUCGGGUCGUAAAGCUCUGUUGUGAGGGAAGAAGCGGUACCGUUCGAAUAGGGCGGUACCUUGACGGUACCUCACCAGAAAGCCACGGCUAACUACGUGCCAGCAGCCGCGGUAAUACGUAGGUGGCAAGCGUUGUCCGGAAUUAUUGGGCGUAAAGCGCGCGCAGGCGGCUUCUUAAGUCUGAUGUGAAAUCUCGGGGCUCAACCCCGAGCGGCCAUUGGAAACUGGGGAGCUUGAGUGCAGAAGAGGAGAGUGGAAUUCCACGUGUAGCGGUGAAAUGCGUAGAGAUGUGGAGGAACACCAGUGGCGAAGGCGACUCUCUGGUCUGUAACUGACGCUGAGGCGCGAAA
rnacentral:rRNA from 1 species